rnacentral:RNase_P_RNA from 1 species
GAGCCGCGGCUAGCGGCUACGGCCGCCUAUGGCCGAGGAAACUCCGCCCUCCCCACGGGAUCCGGGCCCCGCAAGGGGCACAGGUGAGACCUGUGGCAACGGCACAGAAACGACACGGCUCCACGAAGAUGACUAUGAUGCUGCGAGGCCCUCCUGGCAACAGGAGGGCAGAUAACCAGCGGAGGAUUCGUGGAGAUGCGUUGAAACGGCCGACCCCGGAGGAGCAAGGAUCCUGGGGCGAUGAGUCCCCGUGCGACGCCCCGGGAUAGUGUCCGCUGAGUCGGAUGCCGCCGUAGUACAGAAGGCGGGUUAUAGCCGCGGCUC